GUCGAUGUAUCACAUUAAAAAUAUUGGAGAAAUUUUCGCGAAUCGACCGGUAGGUUACACACUCAGAACAUGGCAUCCGUGUCAGACGAAACUUUUUUCGAAGGGACUGAAAAACUAUUGGAAGUUUGGUUUUCUUCUACGGAUGACGAUGUUAGAUGUGAUUUACGGACUAUUGACAGGGAGGACUGGGAGAAGCUGUUGAAGCUGGUUCAGUGUGAGGUGAUCUCCCACGAGGUGAACCCAGACAUGGACGCAUACGUGCUCAGUGAGAGCAGCAUGUUUAUCACUGAGCGUCGGUUCAUCUUGAAGACGUGUGGCACCACGACAUUGCUGAACGCCAUCCAGCCCCUGCUGAAACUAGUCAAGGAAAAGUGUGGCUUUGACACUGUCGCUGACAUUUUCUACUCGAGGAAGAAUUUCCUGCAGCCUGAUAAGCAGCCAUACAUUCACAGGACCUUUGAAAAGGAGGUGGAUAUCCUGGACACCAUGUUCAAGAAUGGGGCCGCCUACACGCUGGGGCGUAUCAACCGUGACUGCUGGUAUCUGUACACGCUCGAUGAAGUGGGUGUCAGCCAGCCUGAUCAGACAGUGGAACUGCUCAUGUGGGACCUGUGCCCCAACAUCAUGAACAUCUUCACACGGGAAGUGAGCGCUGACGGGCCUGACGCCACCAGGAAAUCUGGAAUUGACAAGAUCCUCCCAGAUGCAAAGAUUGAUGAGUUCCUGUUUGAGCCAUGUGGCUACUCUAUGAACGGACUGCUGCCCCACGGCCAGUACUUCACCAUCCAUGUGACCCCGGAACCCAACUGCUCCUAUGUGAGCUUUGAGAGCAACGUGCCCAAGGAGUCGUACAAUGGUCUGAUGCUGAAGGUGUUGGAGACAUUCAGGCCUGGCAAGGUCCUACUGACCCUCUUUGCUAACAAGGAGUCGACGGCCCGCAACAGCCACAAAGACCUGGAUAACUUCCUGGUUGGGAGCUCGUAUGUGCGCGUGGAUCACCAGUUCUGCAUGUUCAAGAACUACCAGCUCACCUACACCUACUUCACCCGGCCCUACAUCUAGGGCUACGUUAACAGAGGUGAUUGCAUCUGUUGCCAUAGUGACAGGUCAAAGGUCAAUGUCGUUUCUCCUGCUGAGGUCAUCACGAGUCGUCAGGCAGAGAAUCCUAAGCAUCCUAAUUCCAAAGUGGGGCCAACACUCGCUUCGACGAGUGUUGAGUUUGGAGACAGGAGUUUAACGAUUCUCUUGGCGAAGAAGCCAGGGAGAACGGUUUUGACCUUUAACCUUUGUUCACUGUGCACUGAUCAACCCUCUGUUAGUAACCCCAACCACAGUUUUUUCCCGUUUUUGUACUUGUACAAGUUGGCACGCUUUAUUUCUAUAAAACUCUUUUCUGUUUUUGAUGUUGUCUAUGUUUGGAAAUCAACAAAAAUGAGAAGGAAGUUUAGAUUUUCUUUCACAGCCAUGACCAAGAAAUGCAGAUAACAUGCCCUACAGUAACAAUAGAACCAUUUACUUUUCAAUUUUACAUUAUCAGUUUUAUAGCGCUUUGUUUAAAAAGCUUAUUUUUUUAUUAACUUGUUAUCUACAUAAUAUUUUAAAACAAACCUUUGUUAUUGAUGGAACUCACUUAAGGGUAUAAGAGAAUUUUCAUGCAUUUUAUUUUUGAAAUUCUGUUAUUGAUGGACCUUUAAUAGAUAAAGCUUCAAUUGAUGUAAAGCUACAAAGGAAGAUAGUUUAAUGAAUUUUGUUAGUUUUUUAAGGCUACACAAUGUUAGUUUUUGCUAAGCAUCCUAUUUUAGUAAAUUAAAAUACAUUCUUUUGUGUUCCAUUUUAAUGCAUUUACCAAAUUUGCAUUAACAAUCAUGUUUUAAUAUUAUCUCUGUUAUCAUCUGUCAUAAAACACAAUAUCCACUUUCUGACGCACUUUGGUUUUAUUAUUGAAGAAUUUUGUUUUACAAAUUGUGUUCAAACUUCCGUAUGUAUUUGAUUAUGCAAAGACAUUAUCUUAAAUUAUUAUAACCAUUGUAAAAUAACAGUUACUUUGGUCUUAUUGACCUUUGUGCACUAAACACCUUUGAUACAUUCAUUAUGAAUCUCUAACUGUGCAUUUUUUCACAAUGGAUUUGGUCCUUUACUGAACCUCAUGGUCUUUGGGUACAGUUUUUUAAAUCAUGUACAAGUGUCAUGAAUUUGUAGGCAUUGAAAAAAUAUUUUAAAAUUCUAAUGCUAGUCUAAUUGUUCUAUUAUUGUUCUUCCCCAGAAUUUGCAUUAUGUUUUUGCUCACCUGAGCAUGAAGUGCUCAAGGCGAGCUAGUGUGAUCACCCUAUGUUCGGCUUCUGUCGGGGAGUGUGCGUUGAGUGUGUUGAGUGUGUCUUCUACGUCAGCUUGUUACCUGUCUAUAGAUUUUAUUUUCUAUCAAAUCUUGGUGAAACUUGUUUGAAAUGUUUUAUACUAUGUAGACAGUAUGUAGGCAGAGUGUGAAUCUGAGUCAUGUGCAUCCGAAAACUAGGGCAUCAGACGGUUUCUUAGAAAAACCUUGUUAUCAGUCUAGAGGCCACAUUUAUGACUCAGUCUUGAUUAAUUUUUAGUUAGAAUACUUACCUGUACAAUAUCUAUACCGAGAUUAAAUCUGGAUAAAUCUGUGCUAUGUGCAUCAAAAAAGAAGGUAACCAGUUGAAAUGUUGGUAAAACCUUGUUACCGCUAUAGAUACCAUAUGUAUGACUUAUGUUUUGAUAAAACUUGGUCAGUCUGUUAAUCUUGACAAUUUAAAGGCCAUGUUGGAUCUGGGCCAUGUGGGCUCAACUUGCCCAUCAUGUCAAGUCUUCAACAAUUGAUGUCUGUGAACUCGUGUGAGCGCUUAAGGGAUGUCAUGGCCCUUUUGUUUGUUAAUAUAUUGUGUUCUUGGAUUACACUGUUUUGAAGAGAAAAGUGAAGGCAUCUGUUCUCUUUUACGACUUAAACUGAAAUUGCCUGUCAUAGUGUUUAUCCAGCACAGCAUCUUUAUUUUUGUGUUUUGUUUUCUCAUUGUGGCUGUGUUGACCAAAAGUUGAAUUGAUCACUUUUUUUGUUCUUUUUGUAUUAAUUUUGUUUACUUUCCAAUAUUUGUCCUGGUUUGAGUCACAAUUAGGUGCCAUUUGUUGUAUUCCUCUUUAAGUGAGAACUACAGUCGAAACCCGAUGGCUUGAACUCGGGGACGGACAACAAAAGUUCGAGCCAUCCGGAAUUCGACCCAACGGAUGUCUAAUACACUUAUGUUUACUAACAUGAAUCUGCAAUAGAUUUACAUAUCCAGUGGAAGGGUAUUCAUACUGCCCAAACUCCUUUCUACUUUCUGCUUUUGCAUGAAUAAGAACCAAAUACAAUCAUUUAUGUACUAUUGUUAUGAAACAAUAUUUUAAAACAAUUAAAAAUAAAAUUAAAAAAUUGUCAUAUACUCAAUGUAUAUUUUAUCGGCACGUUUUUUUACAUAGCACUUUUUAUAUGUACCGGUACAUAUUAGAAGCAGCACAUAAAACAAAACUUGCUUAAGCGCUAUAUACACAUCUCUGAAUAUUAAACAGCACUACACAUAUUUACUUAUUCACUUUCUUUUUUAAGAAUAACAUCAUGUCAGUAUGUUUUUUAUUCAUGAGUUGUUGUAAAGAUAUAAAGCGUUCUAUUCCAUUAAGUUGCGAAUGUACAUAGUGUGAUGCAGCCAUUCCAGCCCUAAUAAAAGGCAUUUACAAACAGAAUGCAAGAUUUUAUACAACAUGUUAUAUUUUGCUCAAAUCAAUUAAGGAAUGAGUCGAUGACAUGUUUCAAUUAUGACUUGCCUUUAAUCAAGCGCUCCUUAUCGAUUAACAGCUUUAUGCGACCCGAAGUGAGUUUGAGCCAAACCAACAAAAGAACGUGUGAAAAUUUUGACUAGGACUGAAAACAGUUCGAGCCAUCCGAUAAUUAGACCCCCGCGAAUUCGAGCCAUCCGAUAGAAAUUUACAUGAAUGUACAUUGUAUAGCAAUAAAAAAUUGGUGCUUUGAGGAGAGUUCGAGCCAACCGGAAAUUUGAGCCAAGCGAGUUCGAGCCAUCUGGUUUUGACUGUUCCUAAGUUUUAAUAGAUAAGCAGGGCAUUAAUUAAUGUAACUGCAUGCAUGUUACACAUUUUUAGAUUACUGAUCACUUUUAAUGUUAUGAUAAAAAAGUAUAGCAUAUGUUACGUUAUUAAAAUAUAUAUGUUAUUGUUAAUGGUUUCAUGAAUAUUGUUUUGUUGGAUAUUGAAACAGUUAAAGUGUGAUAAAUUGAUAGCAUUAAUGUUAUUACUUUUCGAUAUUCGAUUCCUUCAUCUUUAUAACUCGCCACCAUUUAGUGUAAAAUGCAUGUUUGAGUUUCUUCUUGUAUUUUUAUUUGCCAAUUUUGCCUGCCUUGAUUUGUGACAGUGAUACAGGGUGCAAUUAUUUUUUUAUUAUUUUGUAUAUUUUAAUAGCAGAACUUGCAAUUACUUUCCUUUGUUGGUUCUUACGAGUGUAAUUUUCUGAUGUUGAAGUUUGUGUUUUCAUACAUCACAAAUUUAAACUCUGGUCAUCAUUGACUUUAUCCAUUAAAUGUAUAAUAAAUAACACACACAGUUUGAACCAUAUAUGCAAUUGCUUUCUUCAAAACAUUGUAUUCCAUUAUUAUUAUUGUAUUAUUAUUUUGUUCUGUUUAAGAAAGAUAAACUGUCUUUCUUUGUAGAUUUAUGUCAGGUUUUGAACUAACUGGACUGUUAUAUCAUAUAAACAUUUUGGACAUUGAUGCAAGAUCAGAGACAAUGUUUGUAUUCUAUAUUUUGUUAAAACUCUAAACUUGUUAAUAUUAAUUUCUUGUUAAUUAGCAUUUGUGUUGUUCAUUAAGAUACUCAUUCAUACAAUACAAUUGAUCCUGUAAAAACUGAUUGACACAGUUUUGAUUUACAAUUUUCGUUUUGAAAUCUAGGAAGUUAAUGUUGGAAGAUUUUUUUACGUUUGCAUGAAGUAAAUGGUGAUUGUUAUUGUUUGGCUGUAUAGGCAUGGUUAACAAUCCAAUUGUCAUUGUGGCUGUUUAGGUAUGGUUAAAAAUCCAUUCUUUAUUUCGGUUGUGAAUGCUUGGUUUAAAAUCCCUUGCUGAUAUGUCUAUUGAACUGUUUUAUUGUGAUAAACACUCAUAGCAGAAUCAGGCAUUAUAAAUGCUUUUCAUUGGUUUUAUUACAUAGACUUCUUGAGGGGAAACAUAGUACAUGUAUAGUAAUUGUGGAAAACAUUAUCAUUGAAAUUGGGCUUUUUUGAAAUGGUUAUUUGUUUUAUUCUAAUAUUUACAAGGUCAUUGUUAUUAUAAUUAUGCUUAGCAUGUGUCAGUUAGUUAAUGCCUCUGUCAGUGAAUUAUAGUGUUAAGAAAAUAAAUACUUCUAUUAAUUUUCAGGUCAAAGGUCAAAGUUACAGGCGCUUGUAACACAACAUAUGUUAUGUAUGGUAUCUAAAGCAUGCUAAAACCUAUGAUCAUCCAAAUUGAUAUGCUGGUUACUUGGGGUCAACUUGUCUGCAAGUUAAGAUGCCUAAAUGUUUUAAAAGCAUCUUGUUUGUAAGUAAAACUGUUAUGAUGAAAUAUCGGAGUCUCAGAUAAAACAAGUGCCAUUGUUAGCAUCAGAGAUUGCAAUAACCAACAUAUGCCAGCUCAAUUGUUUGUUUGUUUGUAAUUAAAAUUAUUUGUUUUUCUUUGGUUGUAUGAUUAUUUUACUACUGGCUAAGUAAGUGUUUCUAUUUUAUUGUUAUCAUGUAAGGGCUGGUUAACCUGCAAAGCAGUUGUGGGAAUUGCUAAAAAUACGACGACGUGGAAAGUUAUUUGAAUAUUUCAUCUGAAUUUUUAUUUCAAUAGACUUUGAGCAAUGAACAAGUUAUUUCUGCUUCCAUGCAACAAAAAAACCUAUAAUAUAAAAUGAAAGGUAUUCUUGUAAUAAUAUUAAUAUCCUAUCAAUGCUUUGUUAAUUUGAAAAGUAUUUUUUCAGAACCUAAUACUUUGAUGGAUAUUUGUUUAUAAUCAUUAUUUACUUUUAUAUUGGUAUUGCAUUAUAUGUAUGGGAUACUAUAUGAAGAAUUUUAAUACUGAUUAUAGUAUUUUUUGAAGUCUUUAAAUAUAGUGAACAUCAAAUUGUGUAACCCAACAUUCUGGAAACGGAAACAUGAACUAAGUACAUUCAGACUUGUUCGCUUUUCCUUUCUGGUAGCAUUUACAUGUUACAUUUUCUGCGCAAUUCAAAUAUUUUCUGAUAGUGCGUAUUUUGAGCAAUUCCAAAUUGUAUUGGACAGUUAAGUAAAACAAGCUUCUCAUUUUACUUGUUGCAUCUAGCACAUGUUUUAUAGCUGUUUGAUAUAUAAUUAUGUAGUUUAUGUACGUUCUUUUAUAUCGAUAAAAAUGUACGCGGAAAAAAGUGUCCAUAAACAUGACAGUUUAACACAUUAAUGAUAAAGGAAACAUCCGACAAAAAUAUUGAAGUUCCAGUGUUACUUGAACAAACUCUUCAUUAAACGUAUAGGCAAUUAUUAUUGGUGUUCCAUAUGAACAGAUUACACCAAUAACGGAUUAAAGACAAUCUUGAAAUAUUGUUCAUUUAAAAGCAAAGAAUAUACAUGAUCUGAAGAUCUGAUGUUUUAUUCCAUUUGAAAUGACACACUAAAUAUAUGCACAAUCGCACACACACUUCAGCAUUUUAUAUAGUUGUUUUCGAUUUGUAUAAGAACUUUUUAUUACUUAUUACUCACUUUUGUAACCUAUUAUAUGACCAUAAUUCACGUUUUUAUGAAAACAUAUAUAGCAAAUCUUUAUAGUUAAUAUAUACGUGUGUGUUAAUUGAUUAAAUUGGUCAGUAUGCCAUCCAAAUAACUGCCACAGGUUGGUUUUAAGUCUUUAAUCUGAAUAAACAUUUCCACAAUU